UGCCAGCAGCCGCGGUCAUACGUAGGAUCCGAGCAUUAUCCGGAGUGACUGGGCGUAAAGAGUUGCGUAGGUGGCAAGAUAAGUAGAUAGUGAAAUCUGGUGGCUCAACCAUUCAGACUAUUAUCUAAACUAUCUAGCUCGAGACUGUUAUGGGUAACUGGAAUUUCUAGUGUAGGAGUGAAAUCCGUAGAUAUUAGAAGGAACACCGAUAGCGUAGGCAGGUUACUGGGACAGUUCUGACACUAAGGCACGAAAGCGUGGGGAGCAAACGGGAUUAGAUACCCCGGUAGUCCACGCCGUAAACGAUGGAUACUAGCAGUUUUGGGUAUCGACCCCCGGAGUUGCGAAGCUAACGCGUUAAGUAUCCCACCUGUGUAGUACGAUCGCAAGAUUAAAACAUAAAGGAAUUGACGGGGACCCGCACAAGCGGUGGAGCGUGAUCUUUAAUUCGAUGGUAAACGAUAAACCUUACCAAGGCUUGACAUCCGAUGUAGGCUCUCGAAAGAGAACUGUGCCUUCGGGAACAUCGAGACAGGUGAUGCAUGGCCGUCGUCAGCUCGUGUCGUGAGAUGUUUGGUUAAGUCCAUCAACGAGCGCAACCCUUGCAACCAGUUGUAUUUUUCUGGUAGGACUGCCCCGGUAACGGGGAGGAAGGAGGGGAUGAUGUCAGGUCAGUAUUUCCCUUACGCCUUGGGCUAGAAUCGCGCUACAAUGGCUGGUACAAUGCGAAGCGAAGCAGUGAUGUGAAGCAAAUCGCACCAAAGCCAGUCCCAGUUCGGAUAGAAGGCUGAAACUCGCCUUCUUGAAGUCGGAAUCGCUAGUAAUCGCAGAUCAGCAUGUUGCGGUGAAUACGUUCCCGGGUCUUGUACACACCGCCCGUCAAACCAUGAGAGUCACCAACACCCGAAGUCCGCCUCGGCGGCCUAAGGUGGGGGAGAUGAUUGGGGUUAAGUCGUAACAAGGCAUCGGUACGAGAACGUGUCGAUG
rnacentral:rRNA from 1 species